UACGUAGGGUGCAAGCGUUGUCCGGAUUUAUUGGGCGUAAAGCGCUCGCAGGUGGUUCGUCGCGUCGUGCGUGAAAGACCCCGGCUCAACUGGGGAGGGUCGUGCGAUACGGGCGAACUGGAGGCCAGUAGGGGGAUGCGGAAUUCCGGGUGUAGUGGUGGAAUGCGUAGAGAUCCGGAGGAACACCAGCGGCGAAGGCGGCAUCCUGGACUGGUCCUGACACUCAGGAGCGAAAGCGUGGGGAGCGAUCCGG
rnacentral:rRNA from 1 species